rnacentral:rRNA from 1 species
CCUACGGGUGGCAGCAGUGGGGAAUAUUGGGCAAUGGAGGCAACUCUGACCCAGCAACGCCGCGUGAAUGAUGAAGGUCUUCGGAUUGUAAAGCUCUGUGAUUGGGGAUGAACACCAUGACGGUAGCCCAAUAGCACGCCACGUCUAACUACGUGCCAGCAGCCCCGGCAUUACGUGGGUGGCAAGCGUACCCGGAAUCACUGGGCGUAAAGGGUGCGUAGGUGGUUUAGUAAGUUUGGGGGGGAAUUCCGGGGCUCAACCUCGGCACUACAGCCAAUACUAGUAGUCUAGAGUACAGGUGGGGUAAGUGGAAUUCGUGGUGUAGCGGUGGAAUGCGUAGAUAUUAGGAGGAACCCCGAUGGCGAAGGCAGCUUACUAAACUGUGACUGACAUUGAUGCUCGAAAGCGUGGGUAGCAAACAGGAUUAGAUACCCGGGUAGUC